rnacentral:lncRNA from 1 species
AAGAACUCUAUUGAAGUAACAAGCGUGAUUAUCUUGGAUUCGUUCUUGUAAUAAAUCCAACCAGUUUAAGGUAUCAGACAUCGACUUUGGGGCUUGCAUAUUGGUAUGUUAAACAAAGUGUGAAUUUUAGUCGUUUCGUAAUACUUAGAGCUCCCAAUAAUAGUACAUUAAGAUCUCUUUUGAAGCUCGAUGGUAAUAGCCUAUAUUUUGGCCGGAUAAAAAGUUCAAGCAUGCUAAUUUAUCUUAUAGGUGCAAAACAUGCUUGUGGUGCUAAAUGUAAGUGUAAAUGUGUAUGCUUUAUCACCUGGUUUGUUGUAGCUGUUAUGAUGCUGAUUGGAAGUGUGAAGAUAAAAGCAAUAGCACUUGCAAAAAGAAGCCCCCACCAUGGCAUCUGGACUUGGUUAUUCAAGAAAAUGCAGAGGAUUAGGGAGAUUGCUAGUGUCACCAGAAGCAAUGCAUUAAACCACCACGAAGGUAUGUCUUUGUAUUUCCUCAUUAGUCUUGUAUGAAUAUCCUCCUUUCCCUUGUAUGAAGCUCGGAAUCUUUCAUAUAUUUCCCUACAUAUUGCAAGUGGACAAUAAAGAUAAUCCUUGACCACCACCAUCAUUGUAGCUUAUUAAUAAGCAAUUCUUGAACUUAUUCAUAGUUCUACUUAAAUUGUGGAAACUUUGGUCUUUGCUGCUAAAGAGCUCUAUAUAUGUAGCAAUUGAGUUGUCAAAAAUUUGAAGAACUGUAAAAUUAAUUCACACAGUAUUAAUUUUGGGAUGAUAGAUUGUUAAUCCAUUAUAAUUUUUUUGAAAAGCAUAGUUUUUCUCAACUUCGACUCUAGAUUGUAAAACACAAGGAGCAAUUUGACAAAAUAGUAGUACUUUGGCUUGAUAAGUAGUGUGUUUUACCUUCCAUAGAACAACGCCACAUGUGUAAGUGUAGAUGCUAUAGUAGCAAAACCAAAACCAUAAGUGAGAGCAAAGAACAUGCUUAGAUGUAUCCGCCCUUGCUCCUCAUACUUACCAAUAUCUAGCUCAAACUUGUCAUUCACAAUGGCUGAUAUAUCGUACUUCUGACCUUGUGAUGUGAAUAAGUGCGAUGAGAAAAUGGGAAAUUUGGAAGCACCAUACAAGUCAAAUCCCCAAUAUGCUAUUGGGAUCACCAUGUAUAUUAUCAACAUGUACCCUGCAAAGAUGUUGACAAUGGCAAAGAAAGGGCAGAUGAGGGGGCUGAACAAGAAGGAUGCCACAGCAGACCAAUCUAGGGUUACAGCUCCAAGUCCAAGGCCCCUCAUGCCUGAUCCAAUUUGCUGAGCCGUCACUGAUUUGGAGAAUGCCCAGCAGAUCCAUGAAAUGCUCGUGAGUGUGGAGAAUAGAUAUCCUGGUACCAAAUACCAGCAAAAGCUGCAUAUCAACGCAAUGAGGAAAAAUUUUGCUCUUGACGGGCGCCGGUCAUCUUUCUCAUGCAAGGCCCUACAAAGAUAAAUGUGUUAUGAGUUGCUGCAUCUUUGACCCAUUUGAAUAAGAAAAUUACUGUGAAACAGUUUACUUGUUCUAUACAAGCACAGCUGGAGGGAAAAGCCUUUCAACAAUUGCAUAGUCUGAAAUGAAUGAGAAAAUUUGAUACAAAGUAACGUAUGGUGAGGAUUCAUAUAGUUUGCUGCAACUUGUUUUUGAUUUAGGUAUCGUUGUUGUUGAAUAGAACCUCACAAAACUAUUUUGGGUGAACUUGGAUUUGUGACUCUUUAGAGUUUAGACUGUAAAUGUCUGGUACAGGACCUCGUAGGAAGAGGAUGAAAGGAAGACAGAAUACUAAGACAUAAUCUUCAGCUAUAUGUCACCAUAAAUAGUAUUCCUUCAUUUUAAUUUAUAUGUCAUACUUUUCUUUUUGGUAUGUGUCAAAGGAAUGUCACUUCUUAUAUUUAGCAAGUUUUAGAUUUCAGCAUUCACUUAUACCCCUGAACUAUUAACUGUAUAUAUAUAUGUGUUUAUGAGAACUCAGUUUGCAAAUAAUCCAUUUUACAAGAAGAAAGACUUCUUGUUUCUUUGCAUGAUAUUUUUAUCAGGAAAAUGAAUUGAGCUGUGAUUGUGCAGAUGAUUGACUGGUAUUCAUGAUUGAGGUAGGAUCUUGAUGACACCAGAGUCUGGUAAUCAGCAUGCAGACUAUAUCUGAAUUGUUGGUUGGUGCUCAGCAGUCAGCCUCUUCGUAAGCGGUGAAGUUUAAGGGAGGUUUUCAAAUGACUAUUGCAAAUUGUCAUUAUAUAAACCAAACACAUUGCAAAAGAGGUUAGUCUACUAACGAGUAACGAUCAACUGCUAAAUGCUAUCAACGUAAAAAUGUGAAUUCUCUUUGACGUGCCUCACCCCUUUUACUGAGUAGCAGGAGUUCUCAUAAGUCAUAUCUAUAGUAUUACGCUACUUGUGUUAUAAGAAUUAAAGUUAUAGCAGACCCAGAAGAACUUGAUUAAAUUAUUCUAGUAAUGCUCAUCUUACAUAUACAUAUAUAUAUAUAUUAUGUAAACCCAUCAUUUCCAGAAAAAAAGCAACACUUUGGGGUUCCGA